GCCGGAGUAGUUCAGCGGCAGAACAAAUCCAUGGUAAGGAUUAGACGGGAGUUCGAUUCUCCCCUCCGGCU
rnacentral:tRNA from 2 species